rnacentral:rRNA from 1 species
GGGGAAUAUUGCGCAAUGGGGGAAACCCUGACGCAGCAACGCCGCGUGAUUGAAGAAGGCCUUCGGGUUGUAAAGAUCUUUAAUUCGGGACGAAACAUGACGGUACCGAAAGAAUAAGCCACGGCUAACUACGUGCCAGCAGCCGCGGUAAUACGUAGGUGGCAAGCGUUGUCCGGAUUUACUGGGUGUAAAGGGCGUGCAGCCGGGCAUGCAAGUCAGAUGUGAAAUCUCAGGGCUUAACCCUGAAACUGCAUUUGAAACUGUAUGUCUUGAGUGCCGGAGAGGUAAUCGGAAUUCCUUGUGUAGCGGUGAAAUGCGUAGAUAUAAGGAAGAACACCAGUGGCGAAGGCGGAUUACUGGACGGUAACUGACGGUGAGGCGCGAAAGCGUGGGGAGCGAACAGGAUUAGAUACCCUGGUAGUCCACGCUGUAAACGAUGGAUACUAGGUGUGCGGGGACUGACCCCCUGCGUGCCGCAGUUAACACAAUAAGUAUCCCACCUGGGGAGUACGAUCGCAAGGUUGAAACUCAAAGGAAUUGACGGGGGCCCGCACAAGCGGUGGAUUAUGUGGUUUAAUUCGAAGCAACGCGAAGAACCUUACCAGGUCUUGACAUCCUGCUAACGAAGUAGAGAUACAUUAGGUGCCCUUCGGGGAAAGCAGAGACAGGUGGUGCAUGGUUGUCGUCAGCUCGUGUCGUGAGAUGUUGGGUUAAGUCCCGCAACGAGCGCAACCCCUAUUGUUAGUUGCUACGCAAGAGCACUCUAGCGAGACUGCCGUUGACAAAACGGAGGAAGGUGGGGACGACGUCAAAUCAUCAUGCCCCUUAUGACCUGGGCUACACACGUAAUACAAUGGCGGUCAACAAAGGGAUGCAAAGCCGCGAGGCAGAGCGAACCCCAAAAAGCCGUCCCAGUUCGGAUCGCAGGCUGCAACCCGCCUGCGUGAAGUCGGAAUCGCUAGUAAUCGUGGGUCAGCAUACCACGGUGAAUACGUUCCCG